rnacentral:rRNA from 1 species
UAGGGAAUCUUCGGCAAUGGGGGCAACCCUGACCGAGCAACGCCGCGUGAGUGUAGAAGGUUUUCGGAUCGUAAAGCUCUGUUGUAAGAGAAGAACGUGUGUGAGAGUGGAAAGUUCACACAGUGACGGUAACUUACCAGAAAGGGACGGCUAACUACGUGCCAGCAGCCGCGGUAAUACGUAGGUCCCGAGCGUUGUCCGGAUUUAUUGGGCGUAAAGCGAGCGCAGGCGGUUUAAUAAGUCUGAAGUUAAAGGCAGUGGCUUAACCAUUGUUCGCUUUGGAAACUGUUAAACUUGAGUGCAGAAGGGGAGAGUGGAAUUCCAUGUGUAGCGGUGAAAUGCGUAGAUAUAUGGAGGAACACCGGUGGCGAAAGCGGCUCUCUGGUCUGUAACUGACGCUGAGGCUCGAAAGCGUGGGGAGCAAACAGG